rnacentral:rRNA from 1 species
GAUGAACGCUAGCGGCAGGCUUAACACAUGCAAGUCGAGGGGUAUUUAUCUUCGGAUAGAGAGACCGGCGCACGGGGGCGUGACGCGUAUGCAAUCUACCUUUUACAGAGGGAUAGCCCAGAGAAAUUUGGAUUAAUACCUCAUAGUAUAUAGACACGGCAUAGGGAUUAUAUUAAAGGCACAACGGUAAAUGAUGAUCAUGCGUAACAUUAGCUGGUUGGUAAGGUCACGGCUUACCAAGGCUACGAUGGGUAGGGGUCGUGGGAGGCAGCUACACCUGACCGGUACUAAGACACGGACCAGACUGCUACGCAAGGCAGCAGUGAGUAAGACAGGAGAAUGGGCGCUAGCCCGAUCCAGCCACGCCGCGUGAAGAAGGACUGUGCUUUGGAUGGUAAACUGCUUUUAUACAAGAAGAACCACUGAUACGUGUAGCAGCUUGACGGUAUCGUAAGAAUAAGCAUCGGCUAACUUCGUG